rnacentral:rRNA from 1 species
CCUACGGGAGGCAGCAGUGGGGGAUAUUGCACAAUGGGGGGAACCCUGAUGCAGCGACGCCGCGUGGGUGAAGAAGCGCCUCGGCGCGUAAAGCUCUGUCAGCAGGGAAGAAAAUGACGGUACCUGAAGAAGAAUCCCUGGCGAACGACGUCCCAGCAGCCGCCGUAUUACGCAGGGGGCACGCGUUAUCCGGUUUUACUGGGUGUAAAGGGGGCGCAGACUGCAUUGCAAGCCAGGGGUGAAAGCCCGGGGCCCAACCCCGGGAGUGCUCUUGAAACUGGGUGGCUGGAGUGCAGGAGAGGCAGGCGGAAUUCCAGGUGUAGCGGUGAAAUGCGUAGAUAUCAGGAGGAACACCAGUGGCGAAGGCGACCAGCUGGAAUGCAACUGACGUUGAGGAGCGAAAGCGUGGGGAGCAAACAGGAUUAGAUACCCGGGUAGUC